UCCUGGAAGGCCCAGGAGCCUUAAAAUACAUUGGGAACCCUGAGAAAGGAGGAAUUCACCCAAAUCUACAGGUACUGCAGAUGAAGACUGAUGGAAGGAAAAUCUGCAGGUUGGCUAGGCAAGACCAUCUGUAUCAGUAAUUACAAAAUCUGUAUGGAGUCACUUCCAGGACUGAAGACUUCCUUCCCCACAGCAACGCAGGUUGGUAGGAGACCCUGCUCUGCAGCUACUGAAGGGCUUGAUGGAUGAAGGCUCUGCCAUCUGGCAUGUUGUAAGUUGUUGCAACAGCAUAAAAGAACACAUGGAAAACUCUGACUGUUUCCAACUUUGACAAAGGGUGAUACGUCACUUUCAUUCCUAUUGCUCAGGAUUACUCUCACGUUGCCUCCCCUAAACUUAUAGGGCACAUAGGGCAGUGUUCAUAUAGGGCAGUGCAAGGAAUGUUUGCCAAUCAUAACCAUAAAAGGAGAAAAAAGAAACAGAGAAAUAAAUGGGACAAAUAGGAAUGUAAAAUAACAUGGUAUAAACAAGUCCAGAGAAAUCUAUAAAUUACAAUACACAAACGGAGUAUCCUCACAAGUAAAAAAGCAGGUCAUGUCAGAAGGGAUUUCUUAAAUCUACUUAUAUGAUGUUCAGAAGAGAGCCAUCAAAAAUGUUAGAACAAAUAAAGCUUAAAAAUAAAAAGGCAAAAAAGAAUAAAGAGGCAAAUAUCAAACAAAAGAAAGCUGAUACGGCUAUAUUUGUAUUAGAAAUAAUAGACGUUAAGAUUAAAAAAAUAAAUAUAAAGGAGGACACUCAUAAUAGUUUUUUAAAAGCCCAAUUCACCAGGAAGACAUAAAAAUUCUAAACUUAUGUGCACCUAAUAAAAUAGCAUCAAAUUACAUACAGUAAAAAUUGAUAAGUUGAAGAGAGAAUAUAGCCCACAAAGCUUAAAGUAUUUACUAUCUGGCUUUUUAUAGAAAAAGUUGGUGCCACUGU